AUGAGGAGGAUAUGAACGUUUAGAGGUCCUGAUAAUGGUGACAGUCAGGUGCAGAGGUCAGAUUGAGCCCUUCUCCUUUCUCUCCCUCUCUCCCCCAGGCCCACAGACCCUCCUGAGAAGAUGCCCUUGGGGGUGUUGAGGCCGCCCAGCCGCAGGAGAUGCUGUGGGGGGUGGCCCCGGUGCCUGCGCCGCUGGCCCCAGUUCUGGGGAGCGCCGGUGACUUCCUUCAUGGGCAACGUGGUCAGCUACCUCCUCUUCCUGCUGCUCUUCGCCCACGUGCUGCUCAUUGACUUCCAGCCCGAGGCACCCAGCGCCCUGGAGCUGCUGCUCUACUUCUGGGCCUUCACCCUGCUCUGCGAGGAGUUCCGCCAGGGGCUGGGUGGCGGCUUGGGCAGCCUGGCCAUGGGGGCCCCCAGGACAGACUCCCACCAGGCCCCACUGCGCCGCGGCCUGCACCUCUACCUCUCAGACGCCUGGAACCAGUGCGACCUGGUGGCCCUCACCUGCUUCCUCCUGGGCGUGGGCUGCCGGCUGACCGCAGGACUGUAUGACCUGGGCCGUACUGUCCUCUGCCUCGACUUCAUGAUCUUCACGCUGAGGCUGCUGCACAUUUUCACAGUCAACAGACAUCUGGGGCCCAAGAUCGUCAUCGUGAGCAAGAUGAUGAAGGACAUGUUCUUCUUCCUCUUCUUCCUUGGCGUGUGGCUGGUUGCCUACGGGGUGGCCACGGAGGGGCUCCUUAGGCCCCAGGACCGUAACCUCUCAAGUAUCCUGCGCCGGGUCUUCUACCGGCCCUACCUGCAGAUCUUUGGGCAGAUACCCCAGGAGGACAUAGACGGUCUCUGUCUCUCUGGCUCCAUCUCUAUCUCCCUUCACAGUGGGCUUCAUGAAGCCCGACAACUGUUCAUCGGAGAAGGGCUUAUGGGCGCGCCCCUCAGGGACCCAGGCAGGCUCCUGCGUCUCGAUUUAUGCCAACUGGCUGGUGGUGGUCCUCCUCAUCAUCUUCCUGCUCGUGGCCAACAUCCUGCUGGUCAAUUUGCUCAUCGCGAUGUUCAGCUAUACCUUCGGCAAAGUACAGGUCAACAGCGACCUCUACUGGAAGGCGCAGCGCUACAGCCUCAUCCGGGAAUUUCACGCUCGGCCCGCACUGGCCCCGCCUCUCAUCGUCAUCUCGCACGUGUGCUCCCUCAUCCGUCGAUUGCGCAGGCUCCGGACCAAAUUGCCACCUUUCGCAGUCGUCGAGCAUUUUCGGGUCCGCCUCUCGAAGGAAGCGGAGCGGAGGCUGUUGACGUGGGAGUCAGUGCAAAAGGAGAAUUUCCUGCUGGAGCGAGCUCGGGACAAGCGGGAGAGCGACUCCGAAAGUUUCAAGCGCACAUCGCAGAAGGUGGACACAGCAUUGCAGCAGCUGAGACAGAUCCGCGAGUACGAGCAGCGUCUGAAAGGACUGGAACAGGAGGUCCAGUACUGUAGCCGUGUCCUGGGCUGGGUAGCCGAGGGCCUGAGCCGCUCUGCAUUACUUCCCCCAGGGGGCCCGCCGCCCCCAGCCUCACCUGGGCCUAAAGACUGAGCCCUGCUGGUGGACUUCAAAGAGUAGCUGCCAUAGGGAGCUUUGCUCCCAGAGUAAGGCCUAGCAGGUCCUUGACCCCUGCACCUGGUGACCUUGUCCUUGAGGUGAACCUCAUGCCCAUGGACUACCACCUCGGCCGCUGUCACGAUCACUGCAGGGAGUGUCAUCCAUGCAAACCGCAGCAGGCUUGGAUCCUCCCAGAGCCAGCCCUACUCUGGGAGCAUGAGCCUCUGGAGUCCAGGCGUUGCCUCUCAAGGCUGUACCACAGCCUGCUGGGCUGGAGAAGGCUGCAGGUCCUUGAGGCACAGGGACCAGAGCUCACUCACAGCUCCCCACACUGGGGAAAUAAAGCCAUUUGAGAGGAGUAGCGUCUGGAUGCUUGAUUCUUGGGGAACUGGUGGGUGUCUAGAUCCUUUGGGGAUGGGGGCUGAAGCUGGGGGGGGGGUGUUUGGGGUCCUUGGUUCGUUUGCUGCUUUAUUUCAGGUAUCCCCCGGCUGUUUCUUCCUCUCAGCCCCACUAUUCCUGUGUGACUCAGGCCCAGCACCUCUUAUCUGCACUAUUUCGGUGACUCUCACUUUAGUGGGACAAGAACCCCCACCAUCUGUACCCCGCCCCAUUGCUGCCUACCGAUGAAAGAAGAACUCGGAGAUUAAAAGUAGAGUACUUCCUGGAGUGGGGGUGGGUGGGUGCUGUGUGCAUCUGCUUUGGCAAUAGGGGUACAGAUGAUGCAAAUUUGAGUAGAUAAACUGCAUAUGUGUCUUUAAAAAGUCUAAUUAGUGGAAAAUUGCAGGCCACACACGCACGGAAUUGAGGCAAAUAUGCAUCAUUAUACAUGCCGUUUAACUAAACAACCCAUAACAAACUAAACCGGUAAUGACAAGGUUGAACUGACAGCAAUUAUUAGUAAAAGAGCAAAAAAGCCACCAACAACCAACACAUCCAUAAAUGCAAACCAAAACAUCCUUCUUCCAAACUGGAGGAAUUCCAACUGUCUGCCACUUUGGAUGCAGAGCAGCUGUGAAAUAUUGCCAAGUGUUUUGUGGCAACCAGAUUUCUCUGGAAGAUGCUGAAUCGGUUCUCACUAACCCAAGUAGUAAUAAUAACAGUAAUGACGAUGGUGGCAACAACAACAACAGCUAACAUGAGUGCUGUGUGUCUGGCAUUGUGUUUAAGUCCUUCACAGGUGCUAAAUCAAGGAAUUCUCAUGACAGCCAUAUAUUAGGUAGGUACUAAUGUCUCCAUUUGCAGAUAAGAAAACUGAGGCACAGAUAAAAGUUAAGUGACUCACACAAGGUCUCACAGCUAGAAAGUGGCCAAGUUUGAAUAGGAAUCUGGGUCAUCUGGAUCCAGAGCCUUUGUAAAGCACUAAUUUAUAUUUAGAAAUGUUAGGGACUUCCCUGGCGGCGCAGUGGUUGGGAGCCUGCCUGCCAAUGCGGGGGACACGGGUUCGAGCCCUGGCCCGGGAGGAUCCCACGUGCUGCGGAGCAGCUGGGCCCCUGCGCCACAACUGCUGAGCAACCCCCGCUCUCCACAACUAGAGAAAGCCCGCACACAACAACGAAGACCCAAUGCAACCAAAAAUAAAUAAAUAAAUAAAUAAAUAAAUGAAAAAGAAAUGUUGAAUGCUACAAAGCCCUAGGAAUUCACUCAGUGGGCGUGCUGCUUUAUUAAGCUGUUGUCUCUCAGCUCCAAAUCUGCCCUGCUGUAUACUCAGCUCUGUGAUGCUGGGGCUGGGACUCCGCAAGCCACAUUUGUUUUGCCAGCCGGGUUCCUAUUAGACUCUGUCCAGAGGGGGCGCUAGAGGGAGAAAGAUGACUGGAGGAGGAAGAGGGGAUUUGCUGCUUCCUGUUCCUGAGCGUAGCCCCAGAGCAUUGCUUUCUCUGGUUGCAGCUUUCAGCUUCCCCCGCCCCCGCACUCCCACAACAAGUUCCGUUUAUGCCCUCAGUCACACCCGCUCCAUCCAGGCAGCCCCUUUUCCUAGCCUGAGUUUCAGCUCCUAGGGGCACGUCUCCAAGAGUUUAGGUUCUGAUAACUGUUCUCUUCCAUUUUUCUCUCCAGUCCGGGGGGUGAUAUUUGCUUCGUGCUGUUUACUAUUUCUGUGCUAACUCUGCUUCUUUAUAUUUCUUUCCCAGUUUUCUGAGACCCGCUUAAUAUAUCUGAGACCCCUGUAUUAAUUUAUUUCUGUUGAAAUACCUGUAUA